AACGAACGUUGGCGGCGUGCCUAACACAUGCAAGUCGAACGAGAAAUCCCGGGCUUGCUCGGGAGAGUAAAGUGGCGCACGGGUGAGUAACGCGUGGGUAACCUGCCCUGAAGUGGGGGAUAACUCGCCGAAAGGCGAGCUAAUACCGCAUAAGUCCUUUGGACAUAAGUUCAAAGGGGAAAGGUGGCCUCUUCUUGAAAGCUACCGCUUCAGGAUGGGCCCGCGUUGGAUUAGCUUGUUGGUGAGGUAAUGGCUCACCAAGGCUACGAUCCAUAGCUGGUUUGAGAGGACGACCAGCCACACUGGAACUGAGACACGGUCCAGACUCCUACGGGAGGCAGCAGUGAGGAAUAUUGCGUAAUGGGGGAAACCCUGACGCAGCGACGCCGCGUGGGUGAAGAAGGCCUUCGGGUUGUAAAGCCCUGUCAGAGGGGAAGAAAGGGGAUGCGGUUAAUACCCGUAUCCAUUGACGGUACCCUCAGAGGAAGCACCGGCUAACUCCGUGCCAGCAGCCGCGGUAAUACGGAGGGUGCAAAUGUUGUUCGGAUUUACUGGGCGUAAAGAGCACGUAGGCGGAUAGGCAAGUCAGGUGUGAAAGCCCGGGGCUUAACCCCGGAAUUGCACUUGAAACUGUCUGUCUUGAGUGUGGUAGAGGGGAGUGGAAUUCCCGGUGUAGAGGUGAAAUUCGUAGAUAUCGGGAGGAACUCCUGUGGCGAAGGCGACUCCCUGGGCCAUAACUGACGCUGAGGUGCGAAAGCGUGGGGAGCAAACAGGAUUAGAUACCCUGGUAGUCCACGCCGUAAACGAUGAGUACUAGGCGCAGGGGGUAUAAACUCCCUCUGUGUCGAAGUUAACGCAUUAAGUACUCCGCCUGGGAAGUACGGCCGCAAGGCUAAAACUCAAAGGAAUUGACGG
rnacentral:rRNA from 1 species